rnacentral:rRNA from 1 species
UACGUAGGGUGCAAGCGUUAUCCGGAAUUAUUGGGCGUAAAGAGCUCGUAGGCGGUUUGUCGCGUCUGCUGUGAAAACUGGAGGCUCAACCUCCAGCCUGCAGUGGGUACGGGCAGACUAGAGUGCGGUAGGGGAGAUUGGAAUUCCUGGUGUAGCGGUGGAAUGCGCAGAUAUCAGGAGGAACACCGGUGGCGAAGGCGGGUCUCUGGGCAACAACUGACGCUGAGGAGCGAAAGCGUGGGGAGCGAACAGGA